rnacentral:rRNA from 1 species
CGUGUAGGCGGUUUUUUAAGUCUGAUGUGAAAGCCCCGGGCUCAACCUGGGAAGUGCAUUGGAAACUGGGAGACUUGAAUACGGGAGAGGGUAGUGGAAUUCCUGGUGUAGGAGUGAAAUCCGUAGAUAUCAGGAGGAACACCGGUGGCGAAGGCGGCUGCCUGGACCGAUAUUGACGCUGAGACGCGAAAGCGCGGGUAGCAAACAGGAUUAGAUACCCUGGUAGUCCACGCCGUAAACGAUGAGUACUAGGUGUCGCGGGUAUUGACCCCUGCGGUGCCGCAGCUAACGCAUUAAGUACUCCGCCUGGGAAGUACGGCCGCAAGGCUAAA